rnacentral:rRNA from 1 species
AUUGAACGCUGGCGGCAGGCCUAACACAUGCAAGUCGAGCGGAUGAAGGGAGCUUGCUCCUGGAUUCAGCGGCGGACGGGUGAGUAAUGCCUAGGAAUCUGCCGGGUAGUGGGGGAUAACGUCCGGAAACGGGCGCUAAUACCGCAUACGUCCUGAGGGAGAAAGUGGGGGAUCUUCGGACCUUACGCUAUCAGAUGAGCCUAGGUCGGAUUAGCUAGUUGGUGGGGUAAAGGCCUACCAAGGCGACGACCCGUAACUGGUCUGAGAGGAUGAUCAGUCACACUGGAACUGAGACACGGUCCAGACUCCUACGGGAGGCAGCAGUGGGGAAUAUUGGACAAUGGGCGAAAGCCUGAUCCAGCCAUGCCGCGUGUGUGAAGAAGGUCUUCGGAUUGUAAAGCACUUUAAGUUGGGAGGAAGGGCAGUAAGUUAAUACCUUGCUGUUUUGACGUUACCAACAGAAUAAGCACCGGCUAACUUCGUG